UGGCCCUGCACCCCGAGGGGGAGGGUGGCCCGACGCAGGAGGGGAGGGGUGACAUUGGGUGGACUCUGGCAGGAGUAGGGACAGUGUGGGGAAGGGCCUGGAGAGAGCCGCCUCGGGGCAUUCCGGGGGAUGCUGAUGGGCCAGGCAGGGCCGGGCCUUGUGGGGCUCUAGAAGCUGCCUAGGUCCCUUGCCUUUAUCCCGAGGACCGUGAGAAGGGCCCGAUGCCAGUGGGAUGAGGCUGCCCUCCUGGAUCCAUAACUUCCAAAGCAGAACUUGGGCGGUUUCUCUCUGUCGUGGGGCAUCGGCGGCCAUGGCCGGCCAGAGCCUCUGGGCUCUGAGGACACUGCCCCCGUCCUCUCUAAAUACGGAGGCCCAGCUGCCUCCGCCUCCACCCCCAGCGGUACAAAACAAUUUCCUCGCCCCGGCCAGGGAGGCAGAUGACCUCAUUGGACUGUUUCCAUCUCUCCCUUUCGUAGAGAAAUUACAAUUUAUAACUGGAUGCAAUCGCGCGGGUGUAACAGCAAGAAGGAUCCGUGCCGUAGCCCGGCAGUCACCCCUCAUGCAAGGGCUGUCCUCGUCUCCCCUCCCGCCCCACCCCUGCCCUGAGCCUUGGAGGGGCCGCACCCCGCCUGCCUGCUCGUACUCCAGGUAUUUAGCAGGGCCUGGCCAUGCAGGAUCUGCGGGGCUUGCUGGUUCUUGAACCUCCUUCCUCUCGGGGAGGCUUGUCCCAAGGCUCCCCCGUCAGCCUCGGCCUGCGCUCCACCUGGACAGCACCCACCCCUCGUCCCACACGCGCCCCUGCCGGGCUGGGCGUCCGGUGGGCAGUGCCUUCCGCCCCCAGUCUGGGCUCUGGGCUUAUUAAAACACGCGCCCUAAAUAUCCCUGUUUUUAUUUGUAACGGCCCCAGACAACACGCCUUCCUCAAAUCGGCCACCUUGGGCCCGACAAAGAAGACCGCCCAGAUGCAGCUGAGCCCAUCUGGAUCCGAUUUCAAACCAGAGCUAACACUCUCAGAUGUGUAAUAAAAGCCCUUUUCCAAAGAGGGGCUCCUGCAGGGGGAAUACGGACACCGGGGCACCGCAGGGCUGCAGGGCGCCACGCUAAUGAGAGGCGAUCCGGAGGGCUCGGGUUUUGUUUUGGGUUCUGAGGAACAGCCAGCCCUGCCCCCAGGUCUCUGCGGAAAGGGGAGGAUGGCCUCAGAGGGCACUAGGGGUAUGGGGGCCUGACCCCGGCCUGGGAAGUGGAAGGCCAGGGACUCUGAGACCCAACUUCCCAGCUUCCCCGAUGCUCCCGCUUCCCGAGGCGGCGGUGGGGAGGAAAGGCAGUGCUGCUUCUGGAAGCCGAGACCGCGGUGGCCCAGUUGGAUCCUUUGAAUGACAUUUAGCAAGAGGAGCAGGUGCUGGGGAAGCGGAGCCAGCUCUGGACCGAGCAGGCAGCCCCCGCCAUGGCCAGGAGCCCUCCGAACUUCAUGUUUCUCUCUCCGGUCCUUCCGCCCUCCAGGAAAAGGAAACCGGGCAGCUUUGAGGAGGGUGCUCUGCGUGGCCCCCUGUUUGUUAUCUGGAUUGCGGAAGAGAAGGGAGAUGGGGGAAGAAGCAUCCCAGCCCCCUCCCGGCUCCCUGGAAUGUGGUGCUCCGGAAAGCAGGUUCCAGAGGGAUGGGAGGACAGGCGGCUGCAGCCCAGGCCGCCUGUCCCUGUGCGGCUCCUAAUUUCCCUGGGCUUAAUCGCUUGUAUUGUUUCUUGGCAGGUGAGGAGGCAGGGAGUGGGUGCGAAGGCCUCCCUUUUGGACGGACGAGACCAGGGGACGAAGCAGGAAGAACGCGCCCCUCCCCCGCCCCGCCUCCCCAGCAAGAAAACCUUCUCUACGAACAGGAGAAGCCAAGCAGGACUGAGCGUCCACCGCCCACCCCCCCCACCCCACCCACCCGAACAUCUUUCCAGAGAGAGGCAUGUGGGGCCUGACAGCUCAGCGGCGCAUGUCAGCAGCUUCAGCCCCGCGGUGAACAUCUGAACUCCUCAGCGGGGUAAUGGACCCCCUCCUUCCCCCCCGGAGACACAGCCUGAGUGGCAGGAAUACCGAUCCUUUGGAGAGUGGCUCCCUCUCAGCUCUGUCACGCAAGAACGCUCUCUGCACCGGGGCCCAUUCUGCCGAGUGACUUAAAGGGAUUAAAAAAAAAAAAAAGAAAGAAGAAAAACUUGGUGAAGAAAAGGGGGUAAAAGCCACGCUGAAGCUUUGCAGAGGAGGUG
rnacentral:lncRNA from 1 species